rnacentral:lncRNA from 1 species
UGAGGUAAAUAUAGGCAAUCUAAGAUAUUAUUUAUGUUUUAUUCUUCUUAAAUUUCCUGUUGUUAUGAAAAUAAGGAAAAAGCUCCCUUGUGCAAAAAGACAGAAACCAAAGGAGGAAUAUGAGCAAAAAUGGCAUACUAUAACAAGAAAUUGACAAUCCAUCUAUGAGAAGCAUAUCCUUACACAUUGUUUAGUUUAGACUACGAUAUCGAAACAACUUAUAUCGAACUAUUUUUGUAGAUUGGAAGUGCUAAUGAUGAGUGUGGCAAGUCAAAGUCUGAGGUUGAUGAUGAUGAGGACAAUAAGAGCAAUGGAGAUGUUAGUUGAGAUUUAGCUAUACAACCUUUUUUACUUGAAAUUUGGUGACCGUGUUGACUUAUUAUUUUGUUUUAAUUAAUGUAGGAGGAAGAUGAUGAGUAAGGACUACCACGGAAAAUUGGAUUCUAGAUUCAAGGUGACAACUAACAAACAAACAAUUUUCCACCAUUAAUUUGCGUUUCUGGCUUCAAAUUUUGUAAAAUGUUUGAAUUCAAAUUGGGUUAAUCGGAUUGGUGAAAUUAGGAUUUCAUGAAGAAUUAUCAUGCAGAAAUUGGGCUUCAUGUUAAUUCUAUUGAAAUCAAUUGAAAUUAAUUAUUGAUAAUAAGACUUUCCUCCUCUUUUUUGGGUUGUGAGUGUUGCUAAGGAGUUUGUUUCUUCUUUAUAGUGAGGGAACAAGCAUAUCUUCCCUUCCAUUAACUCGGGCAAAAAAAGAGAGGAAACGUAUGUCUUGGUUUUCCUUUUCAGUAUGCAAUUAUUUAGAGGGAAUGGGUGGAGGAAGAGGAGGUCGAGUGUUUGUAGACCCAUGAGCAAAAAAGGCAGACUACAAUAAGAAUUUGGUAAGUCCAUCAAUGAAAUACUCUAUUACAAUACACCACGUGCGUUACACACGCCAGGAAUUAGUUUGAUAAAUAUUUAAUGUGUUACAGCUAGUAACUCAUAUAUUGUUAAAUCAUUAAAUCUCAUUCCUUUUGUGAAAUCAUUGAAGUUAAAAAUGUUAAGAGAGAAAAAUAUUAAUUUAUUCAUAUCUUAAAUACAUCUCUUGGGGUGCAGGUAAAUUUAAUUUUUCUAUAGACAUGACAUGUAUGAUUUUGAUGGGAUGACGUUAUUAUUCUGCAGAUUUCCAUCUGCUCGUCUAUUUCCAAUCCAAGUUUGGAGACUUAUAGCUCAAUCAUUUACGGGGUCAAGAAAAUUGUUAAUUAUGUCAGUCGCUACCACCUACAUGGCCCGCUUUGUAUAUAUUUUGUUACAAGCUCCGAUUCACGACAGUUGAUGAUGUGUUGUUUAAAUCGGAUUUGCCUUGUACAUAGUUUUUGUUGUUAAGGAGUUGCUGGAAGAUGCCAAACCAAUCAUUAUUUAGUGACACAUUUUUUAAGAGCAAUCCAAGAAACUACAUUUGUUAAGUGAAGCCAACGCUCUGCUGAAGCAAACAAAAAGAUUAUGAUGAUUGAGGAUGAUCAAGUUCACGUUUCACUUCUUGUCCUUCCAUUCCCAUCUCCUUGAGUAAAGACCAUUUGUUGUAUUACGUGGCUGCCGAACAUUUCAAACACUCCUGUGAACAUUUUAGAUGUAAAAUUCUACAUUAUAUGAGGAAUUUCCUUUUUUCCGAACGGGGAAUCAUGUAGGCUGUCUUGCCAUUUCCAAUCAUUUUGUCAGAUGAUUUUAUUUUUCCCCGCCUAUUUGACAGAUGCAAUGUUGACGGUAGAUGAUUGGUUCAAAAUUUGGCUAUUUUUUAAAUAGUCCAAUAUCAGAAUGCCAAGAAGUAAG